rnacentral:rRNA from 1 species
GAAACCCUAAGGUUUCCUCCGCAAGGCUCGUCCACGGAGGGUGAGUCAGGACCUAAGGCAAGGCUGAAAAGCGUAGUUGAUGGACAACAGGUUAAUAUUCCUGUACUGAUUAUUACUGGUAUCGAGGGACGAAGAAGGCUAGACUAGCCAGAUAUUGGUUACUGGUUUAAGUAUACAAGGUGUUGAAGAUUAGAGAAAAUAAUCUGAGCUAAGGUACGAAUACAAGAUUAAAGAAUCAAAGUAGUUGAUGUCAUACUUCCAAGAAAAGCUCGCAAUGCCUUAAGUAAUAAUCACCUGUACCUGAAACCGACACAGGUAGGUAGGUAGAGUAUACCAAGGAGCGCGGGAGAACCCUCCUUAAGGAACUCGGCAAAAUAACUCUGUAACUUCGGGAGAAAGAGUGCCCUAUGGGCUGCAAUAUCAAGUUCCAAGCAACUGUUUAGCAAAAACACAGGUCUCCGCUAAGUUGUAAAACGAUGUAUGGGGGCUGACGCCUGCCCAGUGCCGGAAGGUUAAAGAAGUCGGUUAGCGUAUGCGAAGCUGGUAACUGAAGCCCCGGUGAACGGCGGCCGUAACUAUAACGGUCCUAAGGUAGCG